rnacentral:rRNA from 1 species
GGUGUGAACCCUCACUCCCCCUCCCGGGGUGGAAUGGACCUGGCCUCUCCAUUGCUUGCGUGGGCUGGCUGAAAUUCGGAGGUUUAAGCUUGGACCUGUAUGGCAAGAGCAAGGUAGGUAGUUUUCUACUCCAGCUGAUGCUUUGGGCACUCGCACAGAACC